CGAUGUCGGCUCAUCGCAUCCUGGGGCUGUAGUCGGUCCCAAGGGUUGGGCUGUUCGCCCAUUAAAGCGGUACGCGAGCUGGGUUCAGAACGUCGUGAGACAGUUCGGUCCCUAUCCGUCGUGGGCGUUGGAAGUUUGAGAGGAGCUGUCCUUAGUACGAGAGGACCGGGAUGGACACACCGCUGGUGCACCAGUUGUUCCGCCAGGAGCAUUGCUGGGUAGCUACGUGUGGUCGGGAUAAGUGCUGAAAGCAUCUAAGCAUGAAGCCCCCCUCUAGAUGAGACUUCCCAUCAUUUUAAAUGAGUAAGAUCCCUCAGAGACGAUGAGGUUGAUAGGUUCGAGGUGGAAGCGUGGUGACACGUGUAGCUGACGAAUACUAAUCGAUCGAGGACUUAACUAU
rnacentral:rRNA from 1 species